rnacentral:lncRNA from 1 species
GGAUGUUUGGGCCGUGGAGGUCCUGGAAGAUGUCGAGGAAGCGGUCGAUGAGGAGGGCGUCGUACUCGACGAGCUUGUCGUCCUCGGAGACCUUGCCGGGUGCCAGGAGCCGGAGCUGCGCGUCGAUGGAGUGGUGCUUCUCCACGGGCUUGGACGCCAUGGCGUGGUGGGAAGCGAAGCGAAGCUAGAUGACUGGAGUGGAGCUAGAUGGCUGUGGCGGUGGCACGAGGUCGAGCGAGGCGCGCGGGUGGGUUUAAAUAACGGAUGGGGCUUCUAAAAAAAACAAAAUAACGGAUGGGGAGUCGGCGAGUGUGUGCACGGGAUUGCACGCCUCAUGGCGGAUGGAAAGGGGGCUUUUUUUUUUUUCAAGCGGAGGGCAUGUGACCGGCGGCGAAUCACGAAUGCAAGGGGAGGGCCGAGGGGCAGCGCUGCGGAGCGAUGUGCUCGUUGCCUGGUUUUCGUCUGGGUUGUGCUGUCGACGUACUUGUCACUGCUCAAUCGCCUUCUUCUUCCUCGAAUCCUUCUCUUGGCUAUAAUUAAUUUGCUUGGUGUGGAGGGACUUGGACUCA